AUUGAACGCUGGCGGCAGGCCUAACACAUGCAAGUCGAGCGGAGCGGCGGACGGGUGAGUAAUGACUAGGAAUCUGCCUGGUAGUGGGGGAUAACGUCCGGAAACGGGCGCUAAUACAGCAUACUAUCAGAUAAGCCUAGGGUGGCAUGGCUAGUUGGUGGGGUAAAGGCCUUCAAAGGCGACGAUCCGUAACUGGUCUGAGAGGAUGAUCAGUCAAACGGGAACUGAGACACUGUCCAGACUCCUACGGUAGGAAGGAGUGGGGAAUAUUGGAUAAUGGGCGAAAGCCUGAUCCAGCCAUGCCGCGUGUGUGAAGAAGGUAUUCGGAUUGUAAAGCACUUUAAGUUGGUAGGCGGUACCAACAGAAUAAGCACCGGCUAACUUCGUGCCAGCAGCCGCGGUAAUUC
rnacentral:rRNA from 1 species